rnacentral:lncRNA from 1 species
UGUGUCCUUUAAAAGAACAUAAGCUCCAGAACAAAAGGGACCUUGUCUUGUUUAUGCUUCUGUCUCCAUCACCAAGGACAGUGUCUGACACAUGAUCAGGCAUUUAUCUCAAUGAAUAUUUAUGGACUAAAUGCAAGAAGGAAUCAAUGAAUAAAUAAAUGAGAAAUUCAUCUGAGAGUGGAGGCAGCCUCUCAAAGUCAUCCUGCAGAAUCAGCCAUCUCAACUCUAUGAUCCUGUGAGCACGUCAGGUGGUAACUUACUCAAGACCCUCUGUGUCAUCUUAGGAACUAGGAACCAGAGAAACCAUCCCAGAAUCUACAGAUUCUCUCUGAGUCCAAGGCUAUCUUACUCCUCUGUAUUUUACCUGAAAGGAAUUGUCACUUCAUUCAUCAGCCAGUUUGUUUUUUUUUGGGUAGCAUGCCUCUCUUGUGCUCUAUUUUCUUCCAGUUUCUCACAUCAGGUUUAUGUCUUCCUUUGAAGCAGCUUUAGGGGUCCUUCCCCUUACUAUGACUCUUCUUCCUUCAUAGGUUACCCCCAUCCCCUUUCCAGGAGACAAGGCUGAGUGUUGUUGUGCACUGCUGUUGUACAGUUUCUAUCUAUUCUUGGUCUUUCAGCUGCACCAGCCCUUGAAAGCUGACAGGCCUUAAUGUUUAUCUCCCUUUGGAUCUCACCAUCUGCUGUGAUUUGGAAGCUCAGGUAAAGUGCAUUUUUUUUUUAAUUUCUCUCAGAUGCCCAGCCUCUUAUUGCCUUGUACUUGUCCUCUCUCUCUUUAGACAUUGUCUGCUUGGAACUGAUGGGGUUUAUAUUUAAAUUGAUGGAUGUGCCUGGUGCUUUUCUCUUUCCUUGCUGUCUGUCAUUCUUUGCACAGAUUCAGUCUGUCCAAUGAGGCCUUCACAUAAGAGGCAAAUGCAUCUGUGGAAUCAGAAUCAGCUGUGUCCUUUCAUCACUCAGCUUCUUCUCUAUGGUUUCACAAUACUACUUUCCUUUGUUUCUAAGCCAGAGGAGGCAAAUGGUGGCCUGACCUCCUUGGCUUAUCCUGAAAGUGACUCAGAACUUGGAAAAUUGAUUUAAAAAUGGAAACUUGUCUUCCUUUCCAGAUUUGGAGGAAGUGGUACCCCAUGGCUUUUGUUUCUCUUUGGCAACAAAAAAGGAAGGAGUGGACUUUCAGCUAUGCUCUUUUGAUGCUGUUCAUACCCUCAAGUUUUCCCCAGUCUCACUAUUCCACCCAUCAGCCUUUACAUUUAAUCAACAUAAAGUGUUUAUUGUUGUUCUUUAUGCCCGAACUUUACAGCUUGAGCUUUUUCAAAUUCUGAUAUAAAGCCAAGUUUGCAAAAUCCUUUCAGAGAAGGGUCAGUAAACUUUUUCUCUAAAGUGUCAGAAAGUAAAUGUUCAUGCUUUGUGAGUCACCUGGUCUCAAUCUCAAUUACUCAGCCCAGCCCUUGCAGAGAGAAGACAACUGUAGACAAAAUCAAACAAAUGAAUAUGGCUAUGUUUCAAUAAAACUUUAAAUGCAGAAACAGGUAGCAAAACAGAGUUGCCCCAUUGGCCAUAGUUUAUUUUAGAACAUCACCUCUGGUUUUAAGACAUAUAUAGUGCAUCACUCUACAUUAUCCAUUCAUUAGGAACACUCAAACUAGUAAACUGGUAGAAUCUACUUCCAUACUGAUUAAAUGAGUUUGUAUGUACGAGUGUGUGUUAACAUGUAAUCUUAGCAGCACCAAUGAAAUGAUUUUAGAGAGGCCUAAAUUUGUUUUCUAGAUUUUAAACAUGUAAGGCUUUUAUGCAGCCAAAUAAAACAUCAUAUAUGCACUACUAGAGCCUUUCAACGUUGUUUACACGAGUAAAUAAUAGACCUUAAUGAGACCAGUGCCAAAGUAAUUCCCUGGUUCUAACACAGUUCCUUUGGGAGCUACAUCAUCUGCUUUAAGUCACCGUGGAGCCAUUUAGCAUACUAUAACCGAAGAGGCAGUCACUCAGUACCUCCCAGCAACCCUGUCCCCUGAGCCCAUCAUGGCCCUGGGGGAAUUUUUGUCUCACAUUGAUCUCAUCUGCUCAUAUUUGUUUAGCAUUCUACAUUAGUUAUAAUCAGCACAGUAAAAAUACAACUAAAGUUUCCUGCACAUAUUUCUUGAUGAACUACUAAAUGCCAGUGCCAGAAACUAACUAUAUGCAUUAGGAUUUCUGAGAAUUAGGGACUGUGUGUAUAUACGUAUGUGUGUAUGUGUGCAUAUGCAUACAUAUGUAUACAUAUCAUAUAGAGAGUCAUAAUAAUUGUGUGUAAUUUUUCUAUAUAUACUCUCUAAUUCUUAGAACCCUUAACUUUACAGAUGAGUGAACUGAGACUUAGAUAUUAAACUCCUGGUCCACAUUACUAAACUUCAGCGUCUCUGCCUCUAAAACACAUGUUUAAUCAUGAUGUAAUGGUUCCUGUUAAUAUGAUGUUUUCUAUAUGCUUAUUCCCUCCUACACAUACUAAAAAGAACUACGUUGCUUAGUACUUGAUGCAAGCAUUAGGAUUAAUAAAUCUUUUUUGGAGUUCCUAUAGUGGCUUCUGUGGGUUAAGAACCCAGUGCUGUUUCCAUUAGGAUGUGGGUACAAUCUCUGGCCUUGCUCAGUGGGUUAAGGAUCCAGGAUUGCCACAAACUGUGAUAUAGGCCACAGAUGCAACUCAGAUCUGGUGUUGCUGUGGCUGUGGCAUAGACUGGCAGCUGCAGUUCCAAUUCAGACCCUUGCUGAGAAACUUCCAUAUGUUUCAGGUGUGGCCAUAAAAGGAAAGGUAGGUUGAUAGAUAAAUUUUUCUUGUGUAGUGAAAAAUUUUCUCUCUCUCUCUCUCUCUUUUUUUUUUUUUGGUCUUUUUGUCUUUAUAGGGCCGCACCCACGGCAUAUGGAGGUUCCCAGGCUAGGAGUCACAUCAGAGCUGCAGCUGCUGUCUUAUGCCACAGCCACAGCAACACAGGAUCCGAGCCACAUCUGCAAGCUACACUACAGCUCAUGACAAUGCCAGAUCUUUAACACACUAAGCUAGGCCAGGGAUUGAACUUGCAUCCUCAUGGAUACUAGUCAGAUUCGUUUCCACUGAGCCACAACGGGAACUCCAAGAAAUUUUCUCAUCCUGAAAUUUUCCCCUCUUGUCAGGAAUCCUGUCUUAGUUAAAGAGCAUCAUUAUUUACUUAACUAAGUUAAAGAUCACAGUGCCACACACCCUUUAUUUUCUUCAUCCUUAGGCCUCCAUCCAGUUGGUCACUGUGAUGGUUGAUUUUAUGUGUCAGCUUGACUGGGCCAUGAUGCCUAGAUAUUUCGUCAGAUUUAUUCUACAUGUUUCUCUUGAGGGUGUUUUGGGAUGAGAUUGACAUUUAAAUUAGUAAACUUUGAAUAAAGCAUGAUUUCCUCUAUAUUGUGAGGGGACCUCAUCCAGUUAGGUAAAUGCCUUUAGAACAAAAACUGAUCUCUUCCCCACCCCUCAGCCUUCCCCAUAACCACAGGCCUUCAGACUUGAGCAGCAGCAGUGACCUUGCCUUAGGUCUCCUAUUUGUUCUGUUUUCUCUAGGGAACUCUGACUAAUACAGUCCCUGAGUUCUAUAAAUUCUUUCUCUGAAAUAUUCUUGACCAUUUUCAAUGCCCUACAUUGACUUAGGUCCCAAUCUUUUGACCUAUAAUUAGUCUUUCUGCUUCUAGUUUCUCUGAUUCCCAACUAGGGAAUCAGAGAAUUAGGUCAGUGGCUCCCAACUGCCCACAAAUCAAAUUUAGGCUUCUUGUCAUGACAUUCAAGGUCCAUCACAAUUUGAGGCCAGCUCUCCUGACUGAGCCCAUCAUCCACCCCACCCUACCUAGCUUCAUCACACCCAUCAGCAUUCCAUGAACGUGUCCUGCUUUCACACCUCCAGGUCUUAAAACUGUUUUGACCUCGCUUUUUGUGUUGGGAAAUGUUCUCUGGACAUAAGAGCAAGAGUUCCAAUUACCAGGUCUACAAUCAAGUAGGAGUUGAAGAUUUUGGUUUUAGCAUCUUAGUUCAACUUAAUCAUUGAGUUAAAAGCAAGAAAAGAAUUCAAACUUCCAAACUUCCUUAAGACUCUUUUCCUUAUCUCUAUGGAUCAUAUAAAUCCAUGUACGCCCUUUAGACACUGUUCACACAAUCAGAGAACAACCAGCUGAAGAUGAAACAGUAAAUCAUCCAUUUGCUCAGUAAGCCCAUUGACAAGACACGAUUUUGACUGCUUUUUCAUUCACCCGAUGUUUUCCACUUAAGUGACACAAUGUCCCAGUUACAUUUUCACGGGUUGAAACACCUUCAGCAAAGAGAUGAUGUGAGACAGGGGCCUAUAAAACUUCCAGGAUAAUUUGAAGUCUUUUGUUUCAUGUUGUAUUGAAUUUCAUCAGACUGAUUUCUGACUACCUGUCAUGAAUGUUUCUUUUGUUCAUUAGAAUGUAAGAUGAGGGUUGCUUUAAAAUUCCCUUUGGUGAAUUGUUAAGAUCCGUGAAAUGUUAUCUAAAGGUCACUGAAGUACAUGUGCCAGUAGCUAUUAAAGUUAAUAGACAGCAUGGUCAAUUCCAUAUCUGGAAAAUGGCCCAGUCAAGAAUGCAGAUACACUCUUGCCUCUAUUCAUUUGUUGAGCAAAGGAGAUUGAGUUCCUCUACACUGUGCUAAAUCUAGGAAAAUAAAAAUAAAUAUAACAUAUUCUCUACCCUUAAGGAGCAUAUAGUCAAAGGAAGAAACAGCCAGAUUAACAACCACAGCUUUCUGUAUUCCAAAGAAUACUUAAAAAUUUGUGAGAAAUGCAAACUUGAGUCCCAGUUCAGACCUCCUAAAUCACAUUCUCUGGGGAUGAGACCCAGAAAUCUAUGUUUUCGCAUGCUCUCUGGAUGAUUCUGGUGCACAUUUAAAUUUGAGAGUAACUGAUUUAAAGAAGGUCUCAUAACCCCAGCACACCUGUUAUCUAAGGAGUGGAUGUCAGGGAAGGGGGUGAAGAGAGCCAUAGAGAAUGAGGACUGUAGGCUGGGGACAGAUUAUAAGGAAUACUAAAAAAAGCUUGUUAAGAAGUCAAGGCUUUAUCCUCCAGGUGGUGAGGAGACAUUAGAAUGUUCUAACUAAGAAAAUAUGAUAAUUAGAUUUGUGAUUUUAAAGAAAAUAACUGUGAUAGACAGGAAUAUUAUUAGUAUAACUACUUGGAACUUCCAAAAACACUUUUGUGUGGUAUUUCAUUCUGAACACUUUUUAAAACCAAUUCUGGGAGUUCCCGUCAUGGCGCAGUGGUUAACAAAUCUGACUAGGAACCAUGAGGUUGCAGGUUUGAUCCCUGGCCUUGCUCAGUGGGUUAAGGAUCCAGCGUUGUACUGAGCUAUGGUCAUAGAUGCGGCUCGGAUAUAGUGUUGCUGUGGCUCUGGCAUAGGCCAGUAACUACAGCUCCAAUUAGACCCCUAGCCUGGGAACCUCCAUGUGCCGUGAGAGCAGCCCUAGAAAAG